CUCGACAUGCACAAAAAACAUUGAGUAGAGAUAAUUGCAAGCUUGUAUUAUGCAUGUCAUGAAGUCUAAUCAGUUGUCAGUAUACUAAACUAAGGUAUGUUACUGCUGAUACUAGGGCCACUGUGAGGGAGUCACAAGAGACUUUGAGAGAUGCUGUAUGAUUACCAGUGGCCUGGUUAGAAAUACCGCCAGAACAUCUUUAUAGUGAAAUAUAUGCUAGGCCUGCAUGAUAGACAAGAUAUGUUGGAAUUAAGACUAGGUGAUCAAAUCAUAAACCAGAAAGAUCACACACGUAAAAAAAACCAAAAAAAAACCCCAUUAGUAAUAAACAAGAGUAAACAGUAUGGAGGCUGCUGGGAGCUGAGUAACUUAAUGAGGUCUUGGGUGUUUGAAACCGAAGGGAAAAAAAUAAAAAAUAAAAGAGUUCAGCCUAAGCCCAGACUGGGUGUGCUGAGUGGGCUGUGAGAGUUCUCCUGACCCAGGCCUGAAGAGAUGCUGAUUGUGGCAAGUUGGGAUUCCCCAUUUUCGCACUCCCAUCCCCAGAUAUGCUCAGGGAGCAACACGCCAGAUUUUGGGGCCUCGUGUUUACUCCCCAGAGCAGAGCCAGUGGGUCGUCUUCUGGGAUCUCUCCCUUCACGUUUCGCAGCUCAGGCCGAUGAUGGCUGAUUUAGG